rnacentral:rRNA from 1 species
GAUGAACGCUGGCGGCGUGCCUAAUACAUGCAAGUCGAGCGAACAGAUGAGGAGCUUGCUCCUCUGACGUUAGCGGCGGACGGGUGAGUAACGCGUGGAUAACCUACCUAUAAGACUGGGAUAACUUCGGGAAACCGGAGCUAAUACCGGAUAAUAUAUUGAACCGCAUGGUUCAAUAGUGAAAGACGGUUUUGCUGUCACUUAUAGAUGGAUCCGCGCCGCAUUAGCUAGUUGGUAAGGUAACGGCUUACCAAGGCAACGAUGCGUAGCCGACCUGAGAGGGUGAUCGGCCACACUGGAACUGAGACACGGUCCAGACUCCUACGGGAGGCGGCAGUAGGGAAUCUUCCGCAAUGGGCGAAAGCCUGACGGAGCAACGCCGCGUGAGUGAUGAAGGUCUUCGGAUCGUAAAACUCUGUUAUUAGGGAAGAACAAAUGUGUAAGUAACUAUGCACGUCUUGACGGUACCUAAUCAGAAAGCCACGGCUAACUACGUG